rnacentral:rRNA from 1 species
UGCAGUCGAACGAAGUAGCAAUACUUAGUGGCAGACGGGUGAGUAACAUGUGGGUAUCUACCCUUUGGCCUGGAAUAACACGAGGAAACUUGUGCUAAUACCGGAUAAGUCUUUACGGAGAAAGCUUUAUGCACCAUUGGAUGAGCCUGCACUUGAUUAGUUUGUUGGUGGGGUAAUGGCCUACCAAGACUUUGAUCAAUAGCUGAUUUGAGAGGAUGAUCAGCCACAUUGGGACUGAGACACGGCCCAAACUCCUACGGGAGGCAGCAGUGGGGAAUCUUGCACAAUGGAGGAAACUCUGAUGCAGCGAUGCCGCGUGAGUGAAGAAGGCCUUUGGGUUGUAAAGCUCUUUCGUCGGGGAAGAAAAUGACUGUACCCGAAUAAGAAGGUCCGGCUAACUUCGUGCCAGCAGCCGCGGUAAUACGAAGGGACCUAGCGUAGUUCGGAAUUACUGGGCUUAAAGAGUUCGUAGGUGGUUGAAAUAGUUGGUGGUGAAAUCCCAGAGCUUAACUCUGGAACUGCCAUCAAAACUUUUCAGCUAGAGUAUGAUAGAGGAAAGCAGAAUUUCUAGUGUAGAGGUGAAAUUCGUAGAUAUUAGAAAGAAUACCAAUUGCGAAGGCAGCUUUCUGGAUCAUUACUGACACUGAGGAACGAAAGCAUGGGUAGCGAAGAGGAUUAGAUACCCUCGUAGUCCAUGCCGUAAACGAUGUGUGUUAGACGUUGGAAAUUUAUUUU